rnacentral:rRNA from 1 species
UACGUAGGGAGCAAGCGUUGUCCGGAAUCACUGGGCGUAAAGCGCAUGUAGGCGGGAUAUUAAGUCAGGUGUGAAAACUACAAGCUCAACCUGUAGAUUGCAUUUGAAACUGGUAUUCUUGAGUAUUGGAGAGGAAAGUGGAAUUCCUAGUGUAGCGGUGAAAUGCGUAGAUAUUAGGAGGAACACCAGUGGCGAAGGCGACUUUCUGGCCAAAAACUGACGCUGAGAUGCGAAAGCGUGGGGAGCAAACAGG